rnacentral:rRNA from 1 species
GACAGAGGAUGCAAGCGUUGUCCGGAUUUAUUGGGUUUAAAGGGUGCGUAGGCGGCCCGUUAAGUCAGCGGUGAAAUCCCAGGGCUCAACCCUGGAACUGCCGUUGAUACUGACGGGCUUGAGUUCGGUUAAGGCGGGCGGAACUGGUGGUGUAGCGGUGAAAUGCAUAGAUACCACCAAGAACCCCGAUUGCGUAGGCAGCUCGCUGAGCCGAAACUGACGCUGAGGCACGAAAGCGUGGGGAGCGAACAGG